rnacentral:lncRNA from 1 species
GUUUGGCACUACUGGUAAGGCGCGACCAUUGCCCUCGGGAGAUCCCGGGAGAUCCCGGGAUCGAUACCCAUUAGGGUCAAAGUCCUUCCCAUGGUGGAAGGCAUUGCGCCCCUAGAUGAUGGACGGUGGUGACCUGGGAUAAAGUUAACCUGCGAGCCGACCAGGAACGGAGUUGGGCCGCUGUUGACCCGGCAGAUUCUGUUGGAUGCUGGUGGUGGGUGAGGAACCUGAGCGAUCCACUGAGAAGUUGACUAGGGUGACUGGAUGAGGGAGCCCCGAAAUACCGGGGAAGGCAGGGUUUCGCAGGGUAGCUGCCACGGGCGAAGAUACACCCCCCUGUUUCACACAUCAUACAUAACGCUGCAACUUCGCUAGCCUACAAGGAGGGGGAUUUCGACAACUCGCUCAAUGACGCAGGCUCUUGCACACGUG